UGGAUUAGGCAUGCAAGUCGAACGGGUGUAGCAAUACAUCCGUGGCGGAAGGGUGAGUAAUAUAUGGUUAACCUGCCCUCAAGCGGGGGACAACACUUGGAAACGAGUGCUAAUACCGCAUAAGACCACAGUGGGGCAUCCCACAGGGGUCAAAGCCUUCGGGCACUUGAGGAGGGGGCCAUAACGUAUCAGCUAGUUGGUGAGGUAACGGCUCACCAAGGCAACGACGCGUAGCCGGUCUGAGAGGAUGGUCGGCCACACUGGGACUGAGACACUGCCCAGACUCCUACGGGAGGCUGCAGUCGAGAAUCAUUGUCAAUGGGCGAAAGCCUGAACGUGCGACGCCGCGUGUGGGAUGAAGGCCUUCGGGUUGUAAACCACUGUCAGGGGGAAGGAAUAAGCGUGUAACCCACGCGAUGACUUAUACCCCAGAGGAAGUGACGGCUAACUACGUGCCAGCAGCCGCGGUA
rnacentral:rRNA from 1 species